ACACACAAGCCCCGCCCACAGGUGAGAUGGCACAGUGCAGGUUCAGGUCAAAGUGCCUCCACUGAAGAAUUCACGUUUUUUGUGUCUAAAAAAGGCCUCAGUCAAAGAAAGAGAUGUACACAGGUGGAGUGGCCAUAGGGACUACCUGUGGACCUCAAAACAUCCAUAAAGUUUUUUAAUUUUUACCAGCUCCAUCAGUGUAUUUGCCUGGUUUGAUAAGACUUUUCCAGUCCGACCAUGGAGGAGAUACUGGUCUGACUUUAGGGAGAAGGAAACUCGGCUAGCUGCUAAAGGGCUCCAGCUGGACCCGGAACUGUCAUCUCCAAGUGUUCAGACCAUGGACACUAUUCCCAUGCUGUUACACUGGAGGGACUGACUACUAGCAUCCCUCUCUCACUACAGGAAGUCAUUGUGGUCAAAGUCAUGAAUCCAUGUCAAAAAAGCUGAAUAGAGAAGAAGAUAAAGCAGAGAGAUGUCUCCUGAAUCCCUUUAAAGGAGCCACCAGGGCGCCCAGGGACCAGUGAGCAGCACCCAGAGACCAGCACUCGUCCUCCUGCCCAGAGUCAGAGGAGCAGUGAACUGAAGAGUUGAUGCAUACAGAAGCCAGUGUAAAUACUCCAGCGAACUCUUGCUGCUGCCAUGAUGGAACAUGAAACGGCCUCUCCAGCUGGAAGAACAAGUGCUGUGUGGGCUCCCUGAAGUGGUGCAGCACUGGGUCAUUGGAGAGCCACAGCAUGUUUGGGAACAGAACAAUCUGUGUUAUUUCAGCACAGCCUGUUGGAUGAAGGGCCAUUUCACAGGCAUUAUGGAUUAAUCUUUGGCAGGAUCUCUCCAGGAUCAAACAAAAUUGGAUGUUUAACCUCACGUGUCCUAGAGCUGAGAGUUCUCCUGUGAUAAACUGGGAUAGAGAGGAUUGAAUGUGACCCACAUUGGGUAGACACCACAUUUUCUAAAUGUAUUGUGUGACUCCUUAUGAAAAGAUGAAAAUAUAGUUAUAUUUUACAGUGUACAUCAUUCCUCAGGUGAGUCAUACAAAGCCUGAAUAAAAAUUCAUCAUGUUUAAAAUGGGCCUUAUAAUGGGCCUUUGUCCAGUUAAUUCUAGCCUUCUUUAUUAUUUUUGUUAUAAAUGAAAUAUCUUUUGAAUAUAAUAUAAGUGUGGUAGUUUUUGCACCUCUCCCCUCCGACUUGCUGUCUAACUAUUCUUCCACUAACAGAAAGAAGAAAAUGAUUUUAAUAGUGUUGAAUCCAGUUGUUGUAAACAGUUGUGUUUUUUUUUUUACUCCAUCUUACUGUUCAUCUGAGCUAUACAGAAAGACAGAUUCCCAGCAACAACCUCCCCUCUCUUCCCUCACUUAUUAUAGACUCUUAUCUUGGGCUUAGUGUAGAAAUUUUACCAAGUUCAGUUUGACAGGAGCAGUGAUUGACAGGUCUAAAUUUAACAGGCAUGGUGCAAUUUCAUAUUUCACAUGCAGAAAUAAAUGUAAUAUAUAUGUAUAUAUAAAACAUAGUGUAAACCUAGAGAUGUGGAUAUAGCAGAGCAGGAUAGUAUGAAUGAAAUUACAUUAAUGUGGUAUGUUUUCUUGUAUAAUCAGACAAAUAUUUAACACAAAAACUGACACUGCUUUUCAAUUAAAAACCUUGACAAAGUUUCACUGAAUGCAAAGACAGUUUGCCUGAUGCAGAGUGAAUCACAGAUCAGACUUCAGCAGGACUUUCACAGAAUAGUAAAUCAGACUUAAACCCUGUGUUCUUAGUCCAGACCCAGUGGUCACAGAAGGAUAUAUGGUGACAAUCUGGUUCUGAUUACAACUUUAUCGUAACUAAAACCCAGCUCUGUAACUGCAGUGCGGCACCCUCUGUUGAAACUCUGCCAAUCCUCUACCGUCUUCGUUUAAGGAGGACAUUGUACAUAAUUUAUUCCCUGUGCUUUUUCUAUAAGUACAGACACUGUGUGACAGAAAUAACACACAGUUUUGAUUAAUAAUUAAUCAAUCACAGACACAAUUUUAUUGAAAGGCCUGUAAACUGUGCAGUAAAAGAUGUCUGCAAUUUGACUCAUGAUGAGUUAACACAAUUCCAUCAGGUGAAACUUUACAACGUGCAAUAAAAAUACACUGAAACCUGCAAUAUGCUCUUCUACUCUGAUAUGAGCUCUUCUGAUUUCUGUGCUGCUCUUGACUAAUGUACUUGACACAUUAAUCAUAAUAACCAGCAAUCGAAGCAGCUAAGUUUUCAGAAUGGUUUUGGAAGUCUUAUAUUCCUAGACAUGCUCUGCUUAGGCUCUAUUUCACCCACAAAAACACAGACGCACCUUCUUCUAUAAAGUAUAUUCAAUUUUACAAGAGAGUAUUUGUGAGCAAUUUAACUGCUUCACCGGUGAUUGUGAUGAUUAUGGCAGUGCACCGCUCUCCUGUUCAGAGAUACAGGUUUGAUGAUAAAAUUUAAGUAUAUUAUGUCUGAGAUUUCUUGUUCGUUUUUUUUUUUUCUUUACACCUGCACCCAAAACCACAGUCUUGAGUGUUUGAUAUUAAGAAUAUACACUAUUGAAAGAUGGAGUUUUAGGACAAUAGUUAGUAUUAAGAGGAUAACUCUCCUGCCAUGUUGGAAAAACAACCCCGCAAACUUCUGGUCACUACCUUUCCACUGUUAUAUGUUUUGAAAUAUAAUCUAAAUAUCUGCAACCCAGACUGUUAUGUCAUCCUGUUUUCUCGAAGUCACUCACUGUGCCAUGAUUUUGUACCUGUUUGGUUAUAUCAGCAAGUUUCUGUGAAAUCAUGUGACCACAUGAACUGAGUCAUUUGAUUUCACAAAUCGUGGCCAUAUAUUAAACUGACUGACAGCAGCAAUUCUCACUGUGGUUUGAAAGUCAUUCAAAAUAAAAUCAAUCACUCUGUUACUGUAAAUUUCCAUGUUGCAAUCUAAUGAUACAGGGUGGAUGUGCUUGCAUGUUGUUUUUACUGGCUGUGUUGAUAUAAUUCCUGUAUAUGUUCUACCCAGGGACUGCUGCUCUGGCUGUUUUGAAUUAGAGUUUAGCUUUCAGUAACCUAUUCCACCCACAUGCUAUAAAUAAAGGUUAAUGAAAUAGCCUGUAGGCAGAUGACAAGAGAGGAUUUUACCUUUGUUUGCCUGUGACAUUGUUACCUGUAGAAUGAAGGGAUAGUGUGAAGGCAGCACAUUACCUGCUCUCCACCUUUUAUAACACGGAGAUUAAGGGACCGAACACUGGCUAGAGGACUUGUAAUACAUAUUUAAAUUUCCUACGUGGUCUAUCCACUAACUUACUACUGAGCCAAAUAGAAAGUCAUCUGAAAAUUAAUAGCCACAACUCUGUGAUCUUAGAAUAAAAGGGAGAUCACACUAUUCACUUAAAGGACCUCGGCUAUGGCCAUAGAUCACUAAUAAUUUUAAUGACUGAAUCUGCUUUCUAAUGGAGUCAGGAAAUAUGAUUAAUCUAAGUCUACAAUAUUUUGAAGAAAUAAUCCCUUUAGCAAUGUACGCAUUGUUUGAUCAAUUAAGUCUGUAAUACAAUUAAUUGCCUGAACUCAGAUUUCCUCCCAGUCAAACUAUGAAAACAGAAGUAAUGAAUCACUUCUUUGAAAUAUUUCCCUAACGUGUGAGAUUUGCUUUAAUUCCCAAACACAAAUGUAUUCCAGUAAUCAAUAGCUCUCCAGGAAUCACUGACAAUCAGUGACUCACAAAAUCAUCACAAGAUGCUCCAACCUGCUGAGUGACUUCUGCUUUGUUGCCUGUAGGCCUAAUCACACACUUUUGUCAAGGUAAGCUUGCACCCAAUGAAGUGCCUGCUGAACUUACACAACAAGUUUUUAAGGUCCAACAGAACAAUAGUUUGUGAACACAACAAGCUAGCUCUCGAGACCACUGACAUUUGACAUUGACAGACAUUCAGUGUUUAUUGAUUGACUGACUAUGUAAUGGGAAAAAAGUCCUUGAUGGAUUUUUUUUGUUUGCCAUGUUUAUGGUUGUUUUUCUAUCUCUUUCUUUCUUUUUUAGCCAAUUGAGUAGGCUAGUAAAUGAAUGUAGUUCUACUGAACACAGAUUAAUGUAUUGAACUGACUUUCCAUUACCGUGUUUAUUACUAACAUUGUGAACUAUUUGAACUUGGUUAUUAUAGGUUAUUUAUUUGCUCUGAUUUGGCAGGGGGCCACUGAGGAUAAACACUGAAACUUGCGCUGUCUCACUUGCAAUAGGUGAAGGUGUUACUGUGUACAGGUGAACGAUUUUUUUCAAUCCAUGAUGUUUAAUUUGGGGAAAGGAAUCGGUUUCCGCUUUUCUAGUCCGCCGGAUCUUCAUUCAAUUGUGUAUUCAUACUCAUGCUGUAGACUGUG